GACGUAGGGCGCGAGCGUUGUCCGGAUUUAUUGGGCGUAAAGAGCUCGUAGGCGGCUUGUCGCGUCGUUCGUGAAAACCUGCAGCUCAACUGCAGGCUUGCGGUCGAUACGGGCAGGCUAGAGUUCGGUAGGGGAGACUGGAAUUCCGGGUGUAGCGGUGGAAUGCGUAGAGAUCCGGAAGAACACCGGUGGCGAAGGCGGUCUGCUGGGCAGUUGCUGACACUGAGGCGCGACAGCGUGGGGAGCAAACAGG
rnacentral:rRNA from 1 species